UACGGGGGGAGCAAGCGUUGUUCGGAUUUACUGGGCGUAAAGGGCGCGUAGGCGGCCACCGCAAGUCGAUUGUGAAAUCUCCGGGCUUAACCCGGAAAGGUCAACCGAUACUGCGGGGCUAGAGUGCGGAAGGGGCAACUGGAAUUCUUGGUGUAGCGGUGAAAUGCGUAGAUAUCGAGAGGAACACCUGCGGCGAAGGCGGGUUGCUGGGCCGACACUGACGCUGAUGCGCGAAAGCUAGGGGAGCGAACGGG
rnacentral:rRNA from 1 species